AUUAGAUAAGCUUAUAGUUCUGACGAGGUGCCGGAAGGUGACGAGCCUCCCUCUCUCUCUCUCUCUCUCUCUCAUGGCCAGGGUAUGGAUUUCAGACAGGCUGACCGACCCACGCAUCCAGGCGGCUAUGGGCACAAUGGGAAAAGAUGACAAGAAGAUGGCAGCAGUAGCAGCACAACUUUCCCGGCAGUUUCACCUCCUCUGUGGCAGGGGAGGUCCCAGAUUGAGCUGCUACACCCUGGAACAUGCCAUCAGCAGGGCCAGGUACACCACACAGAGGGAUAGUGAGCACGAGAGGCUGGUUGGCUUGUAUCUGCACCACCAGGAUGCCCCCCAUGUGAACACCUUUUGCUCUGAGGUGCUGGGAGAUGAAAGGGUGGCAGCAUUCCUCAAUGACAACUUUGUGCUGUGGGGGUGGGACCUGAAGGAACACAUUGCAUCAAGGAGUAUUCUGCAAGAAAUUAAGAAGUUUCUCUAUCUUCCACAAGUCAGAGAAAUAAUGAAUUUAGAACCCAAGCAACUGCCAAUGUUGAUAACAAUAGUACCUACACCUUUAGACUGGGAAAUCCUCUCGAUUAUUCAAGGAAGCAGCAGCAGCAGUGUGGAUGACGUGAUGACAGCCCUGCAGAUGACGAGGGCAUUGCACGCUGCCAAGACCAGCAUCACAAGACAGGCAAACGAGGAGGAGGACGAUGUGCAGGAAAUGAUCCGCAUGCGCAACCUGGUGAUGCUAAGGGGGGUGCAGACCAGCAAGGUUCGGGAUGAGUACAGCUGGUCUUUGCCUCUCAGUUUACAUUACGAGCUGUCACUGUUGGCUACAGCAAAGGACAUAAUUAAGCAGGAAGAGGAGGAGGAAGCAAGAAAGAAUGCCUGGGAAAAGGCGAUCACUGCAGCAAUCAGGGAAGGCAAGGACAUCGCAACAAUACAUGAGAAGGUGACAGCAGAGAAUGCUGACCCCAUGACACGAGUGAUGAUACACGACUUUUUCCCACAAAACUGCUGCCUCAUGGGCCUGGCUGCCUGGGAGGGGCGUGCAGACGUGGUGACCUUGCUUCAUGCGGUGGGGGUCAGUGUGGAGGGGGCAGACACCACAGUGCUGAACCCACUGCUGGCUGCUGCUACAAGAGGCCAUGCUGAGGUGGUGGUGGUGCUGCUGAGCUUGGGUGCUGAUUGCCUGGCCAGAGAUGACAGAGGGAACACUGCCCUUCAUCUCGCCGCACACCACGGCCACCAGCAGUGUGUGGCGCUGCUGGCUGCUGCCACCCCCGUUCAUGAGAGUGUGACGGACCACAAUGGCUGCACGCCAGUGCAUGCCGCUGCUGUCAAGGGGCACUGGGUUGUGGUGCAGCAGUUAAGCGCAGCAGGGUGGAGCCUGCACACGCUGGAUAACCAGGGCAACACCCUGCUGCACUCCGCGGCCAGGGGCGGCUCACUCAGGCUGGUGGAGGGGCUGGUGGCUGCUGGCCUCAGCCCAAACCUCAGGAACAGCAGUGGUCACACCCCGCUGGCCAUCACGGUGCAGCAGGGCAACCACACGCUGGAGGCCUGGUUCCUCAAGCGGCAACCAGCAAGGCGAUCCCAGCACCUCGCCACACCGACUGCCGUGCUGUGCCUCAUGAGAGCGCAGAUGGACCAGGACCGCACCACGUACAGUGAAUACAUGUCGGCCAUAAAAGUGACAAGUGGCCAGGAACGCCUGAGGAGCCUCUUGGAGGUGAGUGACCCACACCUGGUGGACGACGAGGGAAGGACGGCCCUGCACGUCCUGGCUCAAGGCAAUUACUUCAACCUGCCAUCUGCUAUGCUCCAUUGCUUGGGACACCACCACGUUCGGACGCGUACUGGCCUGACCCCGCUUGACCUGGCACGCCGCUCGCCAUCCAAAGACCAUGCCCUGAGGAUGGUGCUUGAGAGUCACCAAUGCCCUAGGGUGUCAGGGAGCCCCGAGGACCUGUACCUGAGGCUGCUGACCCUCAUCACCACUGGAGACGAUGCCAGGGCUGCCUCCACCUUGCUGUGUGCCGGCGCUCCCAUGGAACUCAACGGUGACUUCCCCAGCUCGGCACUCCAGCAGGCCGUGACCAGCGACCGGCCCCGCAUUGUGACUCUCCUCCUGGCCUCCGGGGCGACCCUCACUGCCAGUGCCCGGGGCCUCAACCUCCUCCAGCAGGCGUGGCACUCCCCAAACACCACGGCCAAGGUGUUUGCUGCCAUCACACAAGCUUUCUCCCAGCAGCUGCAGUGGGAGAGGAAGCGCCUGCCUCGUGGGGGAGGUCUGCGCGAUGACCUGGCAAGGCUGAUAGCGACCGUCAAAGGGGACACGCCCUGGGAGGCGCGCUGGCCAGAGGAAAGCAGGGCUAAGGCCAAGAUAGAGCAGCGCAGCACGGCCAAGCUGACGGCCUUCAUGGUGACCGCUGCCCAGGCCAACUGCCCCCUCACCGUGGCCUUCCUGCGGUGGGCCGGGGCCUGGCCGUUCUUCAGCAGGCAGCGUGGCACCACGGUCCUGCAUGCUGCCCUCACUGCCGGGCACCUUCACCUGGUGGAGGUCCUGGUGAGGGACCUGGGGGCCUCCCUGUACAUCCCAGACUCCUCAGGCUGCCAGCCCAGCCACAUGCACCAGAUGCCACCACACCUCUUCACCCGCCUCCAAAUGGUGAUGUACCGGAAGGAGAGGGCACGGCUCGAGGUGCUGGCCAUCCAGAAGGGAAGGCAGGAGCAGGUGGAGGCUGUGCUGGCCCUGCAGGAGGCCCUGUUCCUGCAGCACACAGGCCACCACGUCAAGGCAGGGAUGUCAAGCAGGCCAGCAGCAAGCAGGGAUGCCCUGCUGCUGGCCUGCCGGGUGGGUCUGCUGCAGCUGCUGCACCUGCUGCUGUCUGUGGCACAGCUGCCGCCAGACACUGUGGUGGAUGAGGUGUGUGGCACCACAGGCCUGCAUGAGGCUGCUGCCCAUGGGAGGUCUGGCUGUGUGGCACACCUGCUCUCUGCCCUGCAGGCUGCUGCUGCUGCCAAUGCGGGGAACGUGGCUGCCAUCGCUGCUGCUGCUGCUGCUGCUGGCACCACACACACCAUGCGUCUGGACAGGUACAGUCCGCUGCAGCCUGACAGGUAUGGCCAGACAGCCCUGCACCUGGCUGCCAUGUUUGGACACAAGGACACACUGGAGCUGCUGAGGCAGAGUGUGGGGCAGGACCCACCCUGCCGUGCUGGCACGACUGCUGGGGAGGUCCACCACAACUUCACUGCCUACCUGCGGCGCUACAGGCGAUACAAUGAUGCUGAGAGGAAGGCGUCCUCGCCCAUCGAUAAGCGGGAUGCCGCCGCCACAAUGAGGCGGCUGCUGCAGGCCGUGGACAUUGCCCGGCUGCCUGGCAACGCCCAGCGGGCCAACGUGGACUUCAGCGAGGGUGAGGCAGCCAGGGUGAGGGCUGCCGUGCUGCGAGCGGCUGGCGUGCUGCUGGGCCGCUGCAUGGCUGACACGACCUACAUGGCUGGGCGGCAGGUGUGGCUGCGGCUGGUGGGCAGCAGCAGGGAUGGCUCAAAGAUGUUCUGCCCGGAUGAAUUUGACAUCAAUGUGGUGGUGGCGGCAGCGGCAGACGGCAGUGUGGUGGCAGGGGUGCAGGAGGCGCCACACUCCAUGCAUGCCAGCCACACCCUCACCAUUGACGUGGCCACGCAGGAUCCCCACCUGCAGGGCCACCGGCUGGCCCAGGACCUGCACUGUGCUGUGAGGGACACCCUGACAGCCCAGGUGCUGGAUGACGGCCGGCUCAGCAUGGUGCCGCCCGGCCUCACCCUGACGCAGGUGGGUGUGGCACUGACGCUGGCCUGGCAGGGGCACGAGUACCCGCUGCUGCUUGUAGGCGUGGACCUGGUGCCAGUGGUGGAGGUGGCCUGGCAUGGUGCCAUUGCCCGGCCGGGCCUCACACCCCCCGGUGCCACCACCAUGCACCUCAGCGCCACGGCUGAGGGGACAUGGCGCUGCAGCUUUGCCCAGGUGGAGGCUGAGGUGCUGGCGGGCCUGUGCCCCGAGGAGCGUGCCGUGCAGCUGUCCGCCAAGCUGCUGCUGGCCAGCCUCAAGGUGGAGCGCUGGAUGCCGCGCCGCAUCAAAGAUGCCACCAUGUGGUUUUCUGGCCGCCCCUGGACCGUGCCUGUGCCCAGCAGCUUCUGCCUCAAGACAGCACUCUUCAGGGUGCUGGAGCAGCGGCGGGGAGCAGGCACCCCCUGGGUGGAGGGGGACACCAUCCAAGGAGUGAGCCAGGUGUUUGAGGUGAUGUGCAUGCCAGGUGGGGUGGGGGACCCGGGUGGCCUGCUGCCACGGCGCAUGAAGGCUUACUUCGGUGGAGACUGUGAAGCCACCAAGGAUGCCACCGGUGCUCCUGCCAUCGUGGGCCACCUCAGGGGAUUCCUGCAGCGCCGCCGUCCUGGCAGCCUUAGCCUGCAUGGCCUGGCGUGCUGGUGGCGGCGGCAGUGGUGGCAGCGGUGGCACAGGGAGUUCUGGCUGCAACGGCUGGUGAUGCAGGCUGCUGAGGGCCUGGUGCUGCAGCCUGGCACCAAGUGGUUCCUUGCACAGCUUGCUCCUGACAGCACAGCACUGCUGCCCCUCCUGCUGGCCACAGCAGAGGGGCAGGCCAACUGGAAGGAAACUGUUGUCUUGGCUGCCCUGUGUCUGCUGCUGCUGAUCUGACAACUGGCUCCUCACAAGCAGCCUACUGAGGACAACAGAUCUGCUGCUGCUGCUGACAUGUGGGGUCCCCCAGGGGACCAAGAUGGGUCCUCUAUGCUUCCUCCUCCUCAUUAACGACGCCCUCACUGACACCCCCGCCCCCCCAUCGCUGGAAAUAUGUGGACGACUGCACCGUGGGCGUCCCA